GAACCUUGUUGCUAAGGACAGGACGGUUUGCGGCAACCUAGGACGCUGCGGAGUUUGAAUUGAGAGGAGAGGGAAAAGUUUUCCUCAGUGGUACCAAAGAGAACGAUGAUCAUUUCAUUGCUACAGUUUCACCAAAUUCUGCAGUCACAGAGUCAAGCAAGGAUGGUAUAGAACCAAGAGUUGUCCUCAGGACCCAUUUCAGCUUUUCAAAUAAAGCCUCCCAGGAGCUGCUGACUGGUUGUGAACAGAGUAUGGCUAUUUCUUUGACCUACAGCCCUGGCUUUCUGUAAUCCACAGAUUCUCAGGUGCUACUGUGCUAUUAGAUCUGACCAUGAGAUGUAAAAGUGGAAAUGGUGUGUGCAACAUUGAGGAAGUUCUUCAAAAGAAGAUGAUUCACCAUUCUUUCCUUCUUCCUGCUGGUUGAAAUUAGACCUGCUGGCUCAAGAUCCUUACAGAAGGCAGAGCAACAAGACUGAAAGAGCUGAGUCCUUGACACUGGAAUACCAAAAUCACCCUUGAAUUUCUACCUCCAUCCACUUUUACAUGGAGAGAAAUAAACUUUUAUUUAAGCUACAA